UGACAUGAUGUUUUGGGUUUUGUUUGGCAUUUUUACCAGUUAAUACCACUGUUUUGGACACAUGGACAUAUGUUGUGACAUUUGGUGUAUCAUUUUGUGCAUUGUACUUGUGCAUUUUCAUUCAUAUACCUUUUGUUUGCUUCUGGACCUAAUUUUUGGUAUGAUGCUUGUCCAUAACAUGUUGUAUUCACAUAAAAAAUUUCAUGAUCAUUGGAUGUGUUUCUGUUUUAAUGUGGAUUUUAUAUUCUUGAUGUCCAAUUUUGAUCACAUUGCUUGCCUUU
rnacentral:lncRNA from 1 species